CUCGGGACUUGUGCACCUAGGGGAGUGGCCGCGCCUAUGGGUGGGGCUGCUGAGAAGGGAUGGGGGUUUGAGGAAAUCCUAAGGGGCAGGAGGAUGAAGAGGAAGCAGUAAAACAACCCACAAAGGAACCAGAAGGAAAGCAGAGUAGUCCACGUGAUAGGAUGCCAAAGGAAGAGUUUAAAGAAGGAAGUUAUGUAGAAUGGCUCUUGACAUCGCUCUGCUUCCUGUCUGCCAUGCCCUGAGCAGCUUUCCUCUGCCAUGCGGUUCUACCCUGGAGCCAGAUGACUGUGGACUGAAACCUCUACAAACCGACCUGGCCAAGCUCCUUGCCCAGCGCAGACCGGCUGCCCUUGUCUAUUGGCCUUUGAGUGGACAAGGAAGGAGGAAGUGAGAGGCACUCCGACAGAGAAGAGUCCCUUUCCCUGCAACUCCAGGAAAACCUGCAGGCUCCCCACACCUGGCGGAAGCAGGAGGCAGCCAUGCCCGCAAGGCUAAAGUCCUGGCCUACAGCCCCAGCAGCCUUCCUCCAGAGUUUACCCAGUGCACACACCUGAGAACUGGCCCAGGAGGGCCAGGUAGCUGGCAUGUCCCUGCGAGAACAGCCAGCAGGUACAGAGUGCCCUGGAGGCUGGUCCUCUGGGAGGGAGGGUGACAUCCAGAAACUGGCCUGGCUGAUUUUUAUCAAGCCACCUUUCAGUGAAGUUGUAUGGUGUGAAAUGGAACAAUGCAAUUGCUUAACCAUCACCGCCUGCCGCACCAUCUAGUCAGAGGUGAUUUUUGCUCAACCGGAUGGGGGGAAGUCGUUAUGAAGCCUUAAUAAAAAUUUUUUUUUCUGGAUGUAGGCAGCAGACUUUAACAAUUAAUAUUGCUGCAAUCUAGCUUUCUACACUGUUUAUUGAGCUUUAAAAAGAAGUGCCACCCUUAAGCCUGAACCCCUUAAGUAUUUUUUUAUAACCGAGGCUAAGAUGGAGGUGGUGUAGCUAAUUAAAUAACAUAGGUCAGAGGCUUUGUUGUUGUUUCCAUACUGGGGAUUGAACCCAGGGACUUCACACAGAGCUACAGCCCCGUCCCACUCUUAACUUUUUAUUUUGAGAGGGGUCUUGAUAAGCCACUGAGUCGCCCAG
rnacentral:lncRNA from 1 species